ACUGGGCAUGGUGGUGCGUGCCUGUCGUCCCAGCUACUUGGGAGGCUGAGGUGGGAGGAUCACUUGAGCCCAGGAGUUCUGGGCUGUAGUGCGCUCUGCAGAUCGGGUGUCUGCACUAAGUUUGGCAUCAAUAUGGUGACCUCCCGGGAGUGGGGGACCCUAGGUUGCCCAAGGAGGGGUGAACUGGCCCAGGUUGGAAAUGGAGCAGAUCAAAACUCCCGUGCUGAUCAGUAGUGGGAUCGUGCCUGUCAAUAGCCACUGCACUCCAGCCUGGGCAACAUAGCAAGACCCUGUCUCU
rnacentral:SRP_RNA from 1 species